CAGAGGCUGACUCUCUCUCUCCGUUUUGUCUCCUUCCUCCUCUCUCUCGUUUUCGCUUCGUCGGGAACGCACCCACACGAUCUUCCAUUCCCUCAACAAUGUCGACUCUCACCGUCCCGCAGCCACUGCCCCCUGUAGCCGAUGACUGCGAGCAGCUCCAGAAAGCCUUCGCAGGUUCGCUCUAUCUUCUUCGCGCUGCCUCCUCCGAUUCUCUUAUCGCGUGUUGUUCGGUCGUCGAUGGUCGUGCUCCGUUCUUAGUGUUCGGAUCUGCGAUCUGCUUGGAGAUCGUGGUUUGAUCGGAGUGAUCUUUCGGUGGAUCGGUUGUUAAGAUCGAGCUAUUUCUGGGUUUAUUAUUUCUCUUGAAUUCGGGAAAAAAAAAUCAAAGUUUAUUGUCUAAUUCAAUCUUUUCUCUUCGUUGGAUGAUUAUCAUGUACGAUCUGGAAGGAUGGGGAACAAAUGAGAAGUUGAUCAUAUCCAUAUUGGGUCAUAGGAAUGCGGCGCAGAGGAAGCUGAUUCGGCAAACCUAUGCCGAGACUUACGGCGAGGACCUCCUCAAGGCAUUGGACAGAGAACUUACCAAUGAUUUCGAGGUCUGAUCUUCCUUUAAUUAUUUGGAUUCAUCCCAUGGAGACGUGUCCCUCUUUCUCUCAGAUUAAUCCAUAUUCAUUCCGUAUCGUCAGAGGCUGGUGGUCCUUUGGUCGCUUGAUCCGGCUGAACGCGAUGCGUACUUAGCGAAUGAAGCGACGAAAAGAUGGACUUCAAGCAACCAGGUUCUUAUGGCAAGACAAGCAUAUCAUGCUCGAUACAAGAAGUCGCUGGAAGAGGACGUCCCUCACCACACAACUGGAGAUUUUCGUAAGGUACUGCUUUUACGCUUGCCUCAUGUUGUUCCAUGACAUUUCCCAAUGCUGAUGAUUGUUCUUCUGAGCAACUUAGGUUCGUACAUUUUGCAAUGAGUACUCCGUACAAUCAAGUCUAUGUAGCCUUGUGAUACUCAGAAUAAUUUCUUAUUGCUGUCUGGGAAAUAUUCUUUGGGAUUGAUGAAGGCAAGUAAAAUCAAAUGUGUCUGAUUCAGCAUAUCACAGAAAGUUUGAGAAUAUAAGUUGUAGGGUGUUCAAUUUUUAAGACAGUUUUGGAGUUUUGCAGAGAAUGCUUGUUGGAACGGUGGUGUGCUUUGGAGCAGUUCCUCAUAUUUUGAUUUGUCAAUUUAUUGAAGAUGGUUUCAUGAAACUCUAGAGACCAUAUACGCUACUUCAUUGGACCUCUUUCUAUUGUGUCAAAUGAAUAACCAAGUCCAUCAUCAGAAGAUUAGUCCUAUGACAACCUGUGAAAUAAUUCUCAUCUAUCCUAAAUCAUUUCAAUUUUCAUUAGGUGUUGAUGUAAGUAAUUUCCUUGCCUGUAGGGAAAGAACUUUAAUUGAUAUGCUUUCUUUGUCUCCUAGUUGAUGUACUUCUUGUGAGCUCCUACCGUUAUGAUGGAGAUCAGGUGAAUAUGACUUUGGCAAAAGCAGAGGCUAAGAUACUCCACGAGAAGAUGUCAGAGAAGGCUUGCAGCAAUGAGGAUCUCAUAAGGAUUUUGGCUACUAGGAGCAAAGCACAGGUCAAUGCUAUGCUGAAUCACUACAAAAAUGAGUUUGGAAAUGAUAUCAACAAGGUGAGUUGGAAUUUCUAUGAACCGGACCUUUCAUGUUCUUUUACCUAUAUGUCUAAAGCUUAUAGCUCCUCAAGGAUGAAGAGUGCCAGGGUAGUGUUCUUUUCAGUUAAUAGUCAUGUUGUUAAGAGGCAACUUCAAGAUGUCUUGUUUAAAAAACAUUGAGAUGUGAUAAUAUCGCCCGUUUCCGAGUUGUUCGAAACCUCAUCUCUAUCCUUUGCUUGAGUAAAAAAAUUAUGAAUUUUCUUUUGCUGAUGAUGUAUGUUCCAUUAGUCAUGAUGAAAGAUUUGUUGGUUCUAAUUUGUAGAACAAUAAUAUUUUUAUCAUUACAAUGUCUGGUAAGAUUAAUGUUAUGAAACGCUAGAAUUAAUGUCUAAUGUUCUGAAACGACUUCAAACUCAAUAAGUUCUAAAAUGGUUUUAGAUUCAAAGGUCAUAUUAAUGGUCUGAAAUGGUUUCAUAUUCAAAGGUCAUAUUAUUGUUUUGAAAUGGUUUCAAAAUUAAAGGUAGAUUAAUGGCAUUUAAUCGCAAUGGAUGCCUUCGGGAACUCCAGAACACAAUGGUGUGUUUGAGAGAAGACAUUGCACUUUAUUAGAUAUUGUGCGAUUUAUAAUAAGUUACAUCAAUUUGCUUAUAUCCCUUUAAGGAUAUGCCCUUGAUACAGCUAUGUAUAUACUAAAAAAAAAAAAAAAAAAAAUCUUGACCAAGUCCGUUUCAUCUACACCCUAUGAGAUACGACAUGUGUCAUGCCUCCACCCCUAGUACAUGCAAUAGCUCUUUUCAACCCAAAUCGUCUUUUCUAAACUUAAAAUAAAUUAGCGGAAGCAAAAAAGAUAGUAGAGGAAAGAAAACAAGCAUAAAACUGGGAGCAACCAUCAAGAUUCAUUUCUUUCCUACGACAGGCUUAUUUAUAUACAGAGAGUUCUAUCAGGUUUAUAAAAAAAACAAAAAAACAAAAGAGAGUAGCAACCCAGCAUCUACACUAUUGCCCUCCCGUGGCCCCGUCCUGAAGGGAACAUAGAUAGAAUCCUCGGAAUAAUUUUGUUCCAGGCCGGUCAAAUUUUUAAAUCUAAUUGUCCUCCAAUCUCUAAAUCAAAUCACACCUGUCGGUGGCCCAUGCGCCUUCUCAAAGUUGGGGGUGUUAUUAGUUUUGUUUUUUAAAUAAACGUAUGCAUGGGCGGGCCAGAUUUUAAAACCCUUGUCCUGAACCCGGCCUGGCCCAACUACGUCUCUCCCUCUCAUCUUACUCCGCGUCCCUCCGGUUUCCACUUCUAGAAAGCGAACGGGGUGGUUGCAUGGACACGUGGCGCUCGUGCAGCGCCUCCCCGCUUAUCGCUUUCCAUGUAACGGUGCGCGCUUCUUCAAGGCAGAGGCUGACUUUCUGUCUCCCCCGUUUUGUCUCCUCCUUCCUCUCUCUCUCUCGCGAACAACCCCCGGCGAUCUUCUGUUCCCUCGACGCUGUCGACUCUCGGCGUCCCUGAGCCAGUGCCCCCCGUGGCCGAUGACUGGGAGCAGCUCCGUAAAGCCUUUGCAGGUUCGCUCUAUCUUCUUGGUCCUGCCUUCUCGGAUUCUUAAUCGCGUGUCGUUCGGUCGUCGAGGAUCGUGCCCCGUUUUUUGUGUUUAGAUCUACGAUCUGCGUAGAGAUCGUGAUCUGGUCGGAGUGAUCUUUCGGUGGCGAUCCAUUCUAGACUGCUCGUGCUCUCUUUUUUGGGGAGCUGAUCGGUUGUUAUAACGAACUAUUUCUGGGUUUGUUAUUUCCUUUUGAACUCGACCUGAGAUUCCCAGUGUAGCUGCAAUAUGUCGUUCGCGGCUACAAGUGAAGAAAUUGUUCUCUACCUUGAGCGCCGGAUAUGGCGUGGUCUCGAAAAAAUGUCAAACUUUAUUGUCUAAUAUAACGAUCUUGAAGGAUGGGGAACAAAUGAGAAGUUGAUCAUAUCGAUAUUGGGUCAUAGGAAUGCGGCACAGAGGAAGCUGAUUCGGCAAACCUAUGCCGAGACUUACGGCGAGGACCUCCUC
rnacentral:lncRNA from 1 species